rnacentral:rRNA from 1 species
UACGCCCGAUCUCGUCCGAUCUCGGAAGCUAAGCAGGGUCGGGCGUGGUUAGUACUUGGAUGGUAGACCGCCUGGGAAUACCAGGUGCUGUAAGCUU